rnacentral:rRNA from 1 species
CCUACGGGAGGCUGCAGUGGGGGAUAUUGCACAAUGGGGGAAACCCUGAUGCAGCGACGCCGCGUGUGGGAAGACGGUCCUCUGGAUUGUAAACCACUGUCCCCAGGGACGAAGAUGACGGUACCUGGGGAGGAAGCUCCGGCUAACUACGUGCCAGCAGCCGCGGUAAUACGUAGGGCGCAAGCGUUGUCCGGAAUUACUGGGUGUAAAGGGAGCGUAGGCGGGAUGGCAAGUUUGUGGUUAAAUCUACCGGCUAAACUGGUAGUCGCACUCAAAACUGCUAUUCUUGAGUGAAGUAGAGGCAGGCGGAAUGCCUGGUGUAGCGGUGAAAUGCGUAGAUAUUAGGAGGAACACCAGUGGCGAAGGCGGCCUGCUGGGCUUUUACUGACGCUGAGGCUCGAAAGUGUGGGGAGCAAACAGGAUUAGAUACCCCAGUAGUC